GGAGAAGCAGUCUGCCUGCAGCAGUGCCCGGUCCAACCAGCUAGUUCGAUUGACUGACAGCGAGUUAAUGUAAAUUAAGGAAGCUUGCUAACGAAUAAGAUAUGGUUUACGAAUAGAAUUGCUUGUUUUCAGAUUCAAAAAUAGAGCUUAAGUUGCAUCAUAGACAUUGUCAAAGACGUACACACAUUGGUAUGCUGCGUUGCACUUCAUGAAAUCAAGAAAAAAAACUGGCGACUUUGACAGACUGAGCAGUAGCCUACACUGGAAGAAAGUGAAGACAACUCAGCAAGAGAUGGAGUCAAUUUAGCCAACGAGCUCACAGGAAGGACAGGAGGAAGAGUUGUCUGGUUGUUGUUUUGACCUUCUUCUCCAAUGGGUUUUGAGCAGAUCUCCAGUGCCCUGCCCUUUCUCUCUUUAUGGUCAUGUCUGAAGUUCCCUACUACGUCUAGGCUUUAUGGAGUAGUCCCUGCAUCUGUCUGCCGUUGUGCAAAAAAAUACAUGCUCUGGUUCUCUUACAGAUUACACAUUUAAUUUUGUUGUAUUUUUACACACACAAAGUUAUUUUUUAAAACAUUUUUACAACACAUACCUGUCAUGUUCU